GCUGUUGAAGAAGAGCUUCGUGUAUGCCUUUCUUCAAUUCCUGCCAGGAUAUCAGCUUUGUGUUCAUCUAAACAGGCCCAGGUUUCACACUGAGAAGCUGCCUUAAUCACGAUGAACCCAGGGUACGCAGGCAGGACCGAGCUCCGGGACAACCUGGAGGCCGCUUCAGAUCCGUCUCCAUGAUUGUGCCCGUCAUCGCAGAGGUGGACUUGUGAGCUGAGGGCUUCAAGUCCAGUGAGACUCUGGCGAAGAAGAUGAUUCAGCUGUAUAAGCUGUGCAGCAAGCAGCUUUCCCGGCAGGACCACUACGACUUCAGCAUGAGAGUCGUCAACUCUGUUAUCGUCAUGGCCGGGUAUGUCCGUCUACGAACAGGGUGAACAUA